rnacentral:tRNA from 1 species
GCGGGUGUAGCUCAGUUGGUUAGAGCGCCGGCCUGUCACGCCGGAGGCCGCGGGUUCAAGUCCCGUCACUC